UGGGAGCGUGGACCCUUGUCCCCGGUCUCAGAGCUGUCAAGAGAAGCCAGAAGCCCACAUUUUUAUGUGAGCUCUUAUGAUUUUUAAAUCUUGCAAUUAAUAUGAUUCUGAAAUAGGGCAUAUUUCUCAGGAUAACACGGUGGGAUGACAAAGCCCAGAGGCAAGCCAGAGGAAUUCAGAGGCCCUCCGUUUGUGGCCUUGUCUUAAAACUUCAGAGAGUUGAGCUGGACUGUAAGGUUGUUAUUUGUAAUAGAGACCGAUGAAUGCAUCUUGGCGUCGUGUGCAUGUGUGUGCCCCAAACAGUGAAGAAACAAAACCACGGGGGAAGGCUGUUAGAAACACAGGAGGAAGUCAGACACACACACUAGGUGGGCGUGGGCUCGGCAGGCCGCUCUGGGAGGUGGCACCCUAGUGCACAGAGCCCAGAGUGCUGAGCUCACCCCAGAGACAGGAGCAGGCAGCACAUGGGAGCUGUAGCCCCAGCUGCAGUGGGGUAGGGGACAGGCCAGGUCAAGGGAAGGGCCUGGGUAACCGGGACCUAGAGAAAGUCACUGGCCAAUAGUGGCCAGGCCACAAACCUGAGCCCAGCCUGCAGCCUACCUUUGUUGGACGUAGCACACAUGCCAUACAAUUCACCUCUUGAGGUCACAGCCCUUUGGCUAUCAGUGGAUUCACAGAUGUCAGGCCACCACCAGCAUAGGUGACUUCAGAACACUUUCUUCUCCCUGGGAAGGAUGCCUGUGCCCAUUCUGCCCUCCACCUGCCCUGUGCAGACACUAACCUGCUUUCUGCUCUAUGGAUCUGCCUGUUCUAGACACUCCAUAUUAAUGGAGUCAUCCCACCCAGGGCGUUGUGCAGGCUAGGCUGGUGAGCCACAUCAUGGAGCCUCACCCCCAGUCCCAACACGUGGCCUUUGUAUCUGGCUUCUUCCACCCAGUGCCUUAGUCGAUUCCUGCUGCCAUGGUAAAAUACCUGAGGCAGGGGGUUUAUGAGAAGAGACAGGUAUUGCUCACGGUUCUGGAGGCCAGGAAAUCCUGACGGAAGCAACAGCGGGUUGGGUGUCUUUGUGAAGUGCCGUACCUCACAGAGGGUGCAACUGGCUGUCCUCAUGUGGCAGUAGCCUACUGAAGGUGAAACGUUUCUCACUGUGGGUGUUUGUUUUUGUGACAAUAGGGAUCUAACCUAGGCCCUCAUGCAUGCAAGGCAAGCACUCUACCUCUGAGCUACAUCCCCAGCCCUCACAGUGGCCUUGAUUUCUAUUUUCUCUGUUGACUAAUGCUACGGAACAUCUCCCCAUGUGCUGGACAGCCAUUUAUACAUCUUCUUUGGCAAAAUGUGGGCAUUGCCAUCAUGCACGUGGUUCUCUAUGUGGUACCUAUUUCAGGUCUCAGCCCUGUCAUGAUUACUGCUAUUUUGUAAAAGCACUGCUGUAGAGCUUUCUGACCCAACGCAGCCUCCACCACUGGUUCUCUAGACCCCCACUGUGUGUGGUGCUGUCACCCCAGCAGUGUAGACAUCACUAAUCACCGUGGCACUCAGAGAUUCAUCUACUGGGUCCCAGGGGAUGGCCAAUGGGACAGGUUUCUGUCUUGAGGGAUGAUCUCACAGAGAUGAGAAAAGACAUGAAUGGACCUCGGUCUUCAAGUGCUGCACUAGAAAUCUGCAGAGGCAGUGUGGGGUCCACGUGGGGUGCAUUAGUUCUCCCAGAAGGAUAUUCCACCAGAGGUGGCUGUGGAGAUUUGGGAGUCUAAUCAAUAACAGCCCAAGUAUCCAGAGUUGGAAAGUGACAGGUGUUGGCAGGAGUGUGGAGGACCGGAGCUGUGGAGCUUCACUGGAAGGAAGGAAAACGUGCAGCUACUGUGGGGAGCAGGGCGGCUCCUGAAUAGCUGAACGCAGACCACGUGAGCAGGUGAUCGAGUGCGAGCAGGGACUCUCCAACUUGUGAACUGUUCAGAGUGGCACCAGUCACAGUAGGCAAAGGCAGAACCCGUCGAGUGUCCAUCAACAGAUGAGUGGACAAACAAGAUGUGGCCUGUCGCCCGCCGGCCACCAAGAGGAACAGAGCUCUGACACACGCUAACAAUGGAUGAUGCUGAGGGGCAGGUCCCCGCCCGACUCCAGGGACUCCCUGCUCUGGCUCUGAGUGUUUGGGGGCUCUGCGGGGUGGGCUUCCAUGACUUCCAGGAGAGCCCCCCCCCCCAGAGGAGGCACACCCAGGUAUCCCAGGCUGUCUCGGGCGACCAGCUCCUCCUGCUUUCAGUGCUUCAAGUCCCACGUUCAGGGAGCCUUUCUGUUCCAGGCUCUUGGCCACCCUAGUUGUCCUGAUUCCAGGCUCGGGGCCUUCCCAGGGUUGGAGCCAGGCGGGCUGGCCCUGGGCCAUGGAGCUCUUUCUUUGUUGGACUCCUGUGGGUGGCACCAGGAGGGUGACCUCUUUCAGGCUUAAGCUGAAGUAGAACAGUGGUGCCAAUUAGCAGAGCCUGCGAAUGGGCCAUGGCCUCUCUGCUGACGUCCUGGGACAUGGAAAGUUCUUCGCGCAAUCUUCUUUCCCUGGUGAUCUGGACACAGGGGGUCCUCAGAUUGCAGAGCCAGGCACAAUAAGAGGCUUGCCUUGCUCUGUCCCACCCAAGGACAACGCCCUGAACCUGCUCUGCACCAAGGCCCAGGCCUGGGCAUUUGCUUGCACAUGACCCCCACCUCCCAGAGGGCAGCUGAGAGGGGGACGGAUGCAGUAAGGGAAGAGCCCUGGCUGGGAGCUGAGGAACCUCUGUGGUCCAGGUUGUGCUCUGCCGGCUAGUCAGGUGAGCUUGGCCGUUUCCUUCCCCAUGUUCAGUCCCCUUUCCCUUGAAAGCAAACUUGAGGGUUGAGGGAGCCAGAUGCUCUCUCAGGGUCUGACCUGCUGACAGUAGGGCCUGGAAUGUGCUUCUUGGAGGCCCCUCACAUGACCUGGCUCUCUGUGGUCAGGGCCCAGGCUGCUCUGCUCCUCCCAUAGGCAACUACUGAAGGAUCUGGAAGAGGACUGACCUGUCUUGGAACUGACCCUCUGACUCUGCAAAGUUCCUGCAAACCCCCCUGGAGCCAGGGGUAAGAGGGGGAGCCAAGAGAGGCCUCCUUCCUUUGUACCUUCACCUGCCCUCUUCCUGAGACAGCUGCCCGCUCUGCCAUGCCUUUUCCUCCGUCUCUGUCCUGUGUCCCUCCUCCUCAUGGGGUCUGCUCACUGUCAAGAGUGGAAGGGUGGGCCUGGGUACAGCACAGCACAUGUGUAGCAUGCAACAGGCCCCGGGGUUCCAUGCGCAGCAUCACAGACAAAACAACAACACGUCGAGGCCUAACAGGAAUAACUCUGCCUGGGAGUCAGGGACCUAAGGCUGCUUGCCUUAUAUGUAACCUUGGUUUCUAGACCUCAGCCUGCCCAUGUGCAAAGUGGGGGUGCAGGAGGAUGAAUCUAAGGUGCCCACCUGCUCUGACUCUAGGCUCCUUGGACUCCUCCUCAGCCUCCAGUCAUUGGGCGAUGUCUGCUGUUUUUAUUAUUAAUUUUUAAUCUUGCGACUUCCCUGGGAGCGUCAUGUAGGAAGGGCCAAGUCUCGAGGUGCACAGAGCUUCCUUUGUCUCAGGCCUAAGCUUUUGCAGAAAAAAAAAGAAAAAGAGAAAGAAAUCUACCCUUUCAUUUACCCUCUUCCUCUCCUGAUAAGGAAACAGCCUGCGGCGAGGAUGGCCGAGCUUCACGGUGUCAAUUCAGAGCCAUAGGAAGGUACUUAGGAAAGAUCCUCCUCUGCCAGGCUGCCACCGUCCUCUUGGCCGCGGCCUCCAGGGGGGCUGUGGGAUCAGCUGACACUAGGGCAGGAGUUCUCUCCAGGAGCUGCAAGUUGUCACUGGAGGGAAACUCACCUGUUGCAGGUUGCAGCCACGUGGGACUGGGCUUGUGGAGGACCCGCCCUGUGCUGGGGGGGAGACUUGGAGGAGGAGUCAGCAGAGGCAGGCGUGGAAUCACCCAACCUCACACUCAUCCAGGACUAGCCCCCGAUGCUGGCACCAUCAGCAGGUUCCUAUUGAUUGCCUCAUUUGAUCUGUAGAAGGUCAUGUGCGGUGUGCAGGCUGGUGGCUGCCACCCACCGUACAGACAGAACAGGGCUGCGGCAUGCCUGGGUCACAUGGAGUGGGGGCUGCCUGACCCCUGGCCAGCUCUGUCUGCAUCUGCCAUUUCCUGGUGUACUGUAGGUGACCCAAUGCCUGUGACUCAAGGGGGCCCCUAGAUGAAAGCAGAGGGGCUGUGGGGCACCUCACAGGGCAUGGUCAAGGCUUUCCCAGGCAUCCAGCCAGUCCAGCAUGGUGUGGUGCUAAGGUCCCGGGGCAGGCUGUAGGAGGCUGGCACCACCUUCCUGGGUGGACAGCAUGAAGCACUGUGGUUCAGACAUCUUCCUGUGCUGGGUAAUACAGCAGCCAGUCUCCCUUUCACAAGUUCCCAGCCCUCUGUCACCAAUGCUCCCAGCCCUUGUCCGUGCCCACCAUCACCCUCAGUGGGUGUGAUGAAUCAGCCGCACACUCCCUGGGAGGAGAGGGCAAAGGCCACGAUUCCAAAGAUACCAGA